rnacentral:rRNA from 1 species
UACGUAGGUGGCAAGCGUUAUCCGGAAUACUGGGCGUAAAGCGCACGCAGGCGGUCUUUUAAGUUUGACGUGAAAGCUCCCGGCUUAACUGGGAGAGGUCGUUGAAUACUGGAAGACUUGAGGAAAUGAGAGGGGUGUAGAAUUCCUGGUGUAGUGGUGGAAUGCGUAGAUAUCAGGAGGAAUACCAGUGGCGAAAGCGGCACCCUAGCAUUUUUCUGACGCUCAUGUGCGAAGCGUGGGGAGCGAACGGG